rnacentral:misc_RNA from 1 species
GAAAUGCGAUACUUGGUGUGAAUUGCAGAAUUCAGUGAAUCAUCGAAUCUUUGAACGCACAUUGCGCCCUCUGGUAUUCCGGGGGGCAUGCCUGUUCGAGCGUCAUUAUAACCACUCAAGCUCUCGCUUGGUAUUGGGGUUCGCGGUUUCGCGGCUCCUAAAAUCAGUGGCGGUGCCUAUCGGCUCUACGCGUAGUAAUACUCCUCGCGAUUGAGUCCGGUAGGUCUACUUGCCAGCAACCCCUAAUUUUUUUUAAGGUUGACCUCGGAUCAGGUAGGGAUACCCGCUGAACUUAA